UGAGGUCCUUGCUGGGCCAUUUCAGAAGGCAGUUAAGAUUCAACCACGUCGCUGUGGAUCUGGAGUAAAACGUCGACCAGGCCAGGCAAGCAUGGCAGGUUCCCGUCCCUGGAGAACAUCAGUGAACAAGAUGGGUUUUUACAACAACCUGAGUCUAUUUAAGGAGAGGACGUCUUUACCAACUACAGCAAGCAGGACUCAAGACUGAAACGACAGCAACAUCUCCUGAUGACCUAACAGCAUUCCUUUUGAGACGUCCCUUUUGCAAGGCUGGAAGAGCCCGAGCUUAUGAAUAUCUUCCUCAAUGUGUUUCCUUGACACCUGGGAUCAGGAUUUCUGGCUGUCUAUUGCUUUGCCUCUUAAUCGUUUUAUGUUGUAGAUCUCAGAUUGAACAUAGCAGUUCAGAUAUAGCUGAAGCAGGUACAGCUUCACUGUGAUUUCUAUGUAUUUGAAUUCAACUGGCCAAUAAAAGUCAGUACAUUUCCUAUGUUCACUGUCACCUCACCUGAUUUAAUCAAUUAUCACCCUAGUUCUCUUUCAACAUCCCCCUUGGAGCAUUCAAUGUGUUACGAGGAUGUGCUUCUUAAAGAUACCAUUUCUAUUUUUAUUUUGGGCCAGAUUUUUUAAAAAUACACUGAGACACUCUGUACAGGCAAUGGAAAACAGUCCAGAAUGUGGCAAUCCACACAAUCUCAUGUUCCACCAAGUGGAAUGAAAAAAACAGACACUCACUCCUCUGGGGACUGUGAAAGGCCCCAUACCCCUGUUGGCUUCACAUCAUCCUGAAAAUUUUCAAAUGAUUUUGAGAUAAGACGCCAAAAUGCAAUUAUCUGCUCUGAAACAAGAACUGCAGCAGACAUGAACUAAUAGAAUUUCUCUGGAAUUUACAGCCAGCAAGGUACUUUUAAGGACUCCUUACCAAGCAGGAGAGAGAGAAAACAAAAGUCAAUGCUGUACCGAACACAGAUUUGAAGCUCUGUCUCUCUCUCUCUCUCUUUCUGGAAAGUAUUGUGCCUGGUUUUGCAAAGUAACCAUCCUGAGAAGAGAAAUUUACUGCAAAUCAAGAUCUUUUGGGACUAAUAUGUGGGAAUCGACUCCAUACAAUUACACCCAGGAAGACAA